CCUACCAAUCUCCACCCCUGGAUGUGGAUCCAACUCCGCCCCCUGGAUCUUUUGUUCUGCAGUGAGGGGCUACUGGGAAACUGGCCAAUGAAACUGUUCGCGCCUUUCUAAAUUUGAAAAUAUGACCGUUUUUAUCGUCUUUCUGAGUGAGGCGGCUGACUGACUGACUCUGUGUGUGAGCUGCUGCUCGUUGAGAUUGCUCGGUCGUUCCCGAUUUAUUUUAUAUUUGCCUGUUAAAUUUUUAUUUUGAGCGAAUUUGAGUCGUGACGUGUCAACGGAGAACAAAAACUAGAAUGUGAACACAGGAAGGGUCAGGUGCGAUUUGCGAGGUCCAGCAAACACACGGACAAAAUCAGAGUUAUCAAGGAUCCAGCUGUUUAUUGGCAAUUUGGACAGUACAGAAAGUGCACAAGUGUGAGAGAGAGGAGGGGACGGCGUCAGAAAGGACCUAGAGCUGGGACUCUUUCAAGGAUCACCCAAAGCACAACCACGCUACAUGCAAGGCAGUUGGUUCUAACAUUUUAUCAGAAUUUGAAGAAACAUUUCUACUUAAAAUAUUAAAUGCAUUUCAUUCAAGGCAGCGUUUUUCCUGCGUAAAGAAUUUCCUCUGGCUGUCGACAAAACUCUCUUGUAAUGAGACACAUUAGUAAAACAUGUUUUCACAGAAACUAUAGAUUUCCACCAAAAUAAAAAUCAACUGGUUUCAGUCAAAAGAAGUACAAGGGUUUCUCUUGCAAGUGCAGCGCAAAAUAUGCAUGUUAUGGUACAAACAUCUUGAGUCUUUAAAUGUUUUAUUUGGAUUUUACAGGUUUUUAACAAUACAUCCAAGCACAAACACUGCAAGCUAAAGUUUGGGAUUAUUUUCAUCAGUUUUAUACAGUAUGUUUCCAAAAUAAAACUGCAGUUUUACAAUUUUCAGUGUGUGGUAGUUUAUUGAAGUUGAUUGUAAAGCCAUUGCUGCCAGUUUUACAGGUUUUUAACAAUACAUCCAAGCACAAACACUGCAAAUUCAAUUUGCAAAAUCAACACAUAAUUCAACGUUAAUACAAUGUCUACAGAACUACUUUAAUUCACCAAUGCUGUAAGACGGUGAAACAACAUCACAAUAUCAACGUUGAUCCAAGUUGCUAAAUCGAAAC